UCCUACGGGAGGCAGCAGUGGGGAAUAUUGGACAAUGGGCGCAAGCCUGAUCCAGCCAUGCCGCGUGUGUGAAGAAGGCCUUAUGGUUGUAAAGCACUUUAAGCGAGGAGGAGGCUACUUUAGUUAAUACCUAGAGAUAGUGGACGUUACUCGCAGAAUAAGCACCGGCUAACUCUGUGCCAGCAGCCGCGGUAAUACAGAGGGUGCAAGCGUUAAUCGGAUUUACUGGGCGUAAAGCGCGCGUAGGCGGCUAAUUAAGUCAAAUGUGAAAUCCCCGAGCUUAACUUGGGAAUUGCAUUCGAUACUGGUUAGCUAGAGUGUGGGAGAGGAUGGUAGAAUUCCAGGUGUAGCGGUGAAAUGCGUAGAGAUCUGGAGAAAUACCGAUGGCGAAGGCAGCCAUCUGGCCUAACACUGACGUGAAGUGCGAAAGCAUGGGGAGCAAACAGGAUUAGAUACCCUGGUAGUCCAUGCCGUAAACGAUGUCUACUAGCCGUUGGGGCCUUUGAGGCUUUAGUGGCGCAGCUAACGCGAUAAGUAGACCGCCUGGGGAGGACUGUCGCAAGACUAAAACUCAAAUGAAUUGACGGGG
rnacentral:rRNA from 1 species